rnacentral:lncRNA from 1 species
AAAACUCCAAGAGAUACUGAUCGACAGCUUGAGGAAAUCUUGUGUAAUACCCAUUUAAUUUCUACUGAUCUAGCGUAUAUAAAUCCAUUAAAAAAAACAGAUGAUCAGUAAAUAAACGAAGCUCACUGAGCAGAAAGAUUUUAAGAAAUCAGCUCAGCUCAUCAUUAACUCAAAAACUUCCCAUUAGAUAUUUGGAGUCUCUAUUUAUCACUUGCAUCUUUCUCCUCUCAUACAAGCAAUUAAUUCAAAUGUUGUUAUUAUUAACAUACAAAAAUUAAACUUCAUACUCAACAACCACUCUUCUCUCCCCCGAAUAGAAACUGUCUGUCUCAAAGAUUUAAACUUUAUACUAAAUAAAAUGAAGGUAAGACAGAUUGCACAUGAACACUAACCCCUGUAUGCUCAGAAGAUUCCAUUGCAGCAGCAACACAAGAAAUGUGUCUCCAAAUUAAUAACCAAGCUGCAGAUAUUUGGAGCCACUAAAAAUCGCAUCAUCAGCCUAAAAACUCCUGAAAAACCAUUGCAAUAUUCCAAAGAAAUUUGUUUUCUCUUUCUUUUCUAAACUUUAACGACAACCAAAUAAAGAUCCCCAAUUUCUUCAGCAAUCAAAACCAAAAAACUCAACAUACUGUUGCCCAAUUUCGAAAACCCUACAAAUAAUGAGAUUGACUGACCAGAGAUCAUGAGAGAUCGCCGCCGGCGAGAUCUGAAGAGAAAGAUCGAGAUCGGCACUAGGACAGGGCGUUGACCACGCUCUUGAGUCUCUUCUAGCUCAGCUUCUCUUCGGUUCCCUCAUCUUCGAAAUGAGGCCCACAGGGCUGCCUUUAUUAUUAUCAGUAUUAUUUUCUUUGCCACUAUGUGGGGAUAUUUUUCUCAACAGCUUUCAAGCCAC